rnacentral:rRNA from 1 species
CCCCUAGAUGUUCUGGGCCGCACGCGCGCUACACUGAACAGUUCAACAAGUCUUAACCUUGGCCGAUAGGUCUGGGUAAUCUUUGAACGCUGUUCGUGAUUGGGAUAGACCUUUGCAAUUAUGGGUCUUCAACGAGGAAUUCCUAGUAAACGCAAGUCAUCAGCUUGCAUUGAUUACGUCCCUGCCCUUUGUACACACCGCCCGUCGCUCCUACCGAUUGAAUGGUCCGGUGAAAUCUCGGGACGGCGGCUUGGUCGCUUGCGUCCGACUGCUGAAACUUGAUUAAACCAUAUCAUUUAGAGGAAGGUGAAGUCGUAACA